UAUUGUUUUAAAAUAUGUUAGUGAUGUAUAUAAAGGCACCAAUAGUCUUAUUAUACUUGAUGACUGUGCGAGUUGCUUAGAUACUUGAUGACUGUGCAAAU